UUUCAAGAUUCUAAGAGCAAACGGUGGAUGCCUUGGCAUCUGGAGCCGAAGAAGGACGUAUAAAUCUGCGAUAAGCCUCGGGGAGCUGAUAAUAGAGCUUUGAUCCGAGGAUCUCCGAAUGGGGAAACCCCGCCAGGCCCUUUGGGUGACCUGGUGACUCCCGCCUGAAUAUAUAGGGCGGGUAGAGGGAACGUGGGGAAGUGAAACAUCUCAGUACCCACAGGAAGAGAAAGCAAAAGCGAUUCCGUUAGUAGUGGCGAGCGAAACCGGAAGAGGCCAAACCGAUCAUGUGUGAUAUCCGGUAGGAGUUGCAUGGUCGGGGUUGCGGGACUUUCCGUACAGUUCUACCGAGCUGUGAGGGCAAUGAGCGCGAUAUAGACGAAUGGUCUUGAAAGGCCAGUCAUAGAGGGUGCGAACCCCGUAGUCGAAAUGUCGUCGCCUGUCCGGAGAGUAUCCCAAGUAGCACGGGGCCCGAGAAAUCCCGUGUGAAUCUGUCAGGACCACCUGAUAAGCCUAAAUACUCCCAGAUGACCGAUAGCGGACAAGUACCGUGAGGGAAAGGUGAAAAGUACCCCGGGAGGGGAGUGAAAUAGUACCUGAAACCGUUUGCUUACAAACCGUUGGAGCACCCUUGUUGGUGUGACAGCGUGCCUUUUGAAGAAUGAGCCUGCGAGUUAGUGAUAUGUGGCGAGGUUAACCCGUGAGGGGCAGCCGUAGCGAAAGCGAGUCUUAAUAGGGCGUAUGAGUCGCAUGUUCUAGACCCGAAGCGAAGUGAUCUAUCCAUGGCCAGGUUGAAGCGACGGUAAGACGUCGUGGAGGACCGAACCCACUUCAGUUGAAAAUGGAGGGGAUGAGCUGUGGAUAGGGGUGAAAGGCCAAUCAAACUUCGUGAUAGCUGGUUCUCUCCGAAAUGCAUUUAGGUGCAGCGUUGCGUGUUUCUUGCCGGAGGUAGAGCUACUGGAUGGACGAUGGGCCCCAAAAGGUUACUGACUUCAGCCAAACUCCGAAUGCCGGUAAGUGAGAGCGCAGCAGUGAGACGGUGGGGGAUAAGCUUCAUCGUCGAGAGGGAAACAACCCAGACCACCAUCUAAGGUCCCUAAGCGCGUGCUAAGUGGGAAAGGAUGUGGAGUUGCAUAGACAACCAGGAGGUUGGCUUAGAAGCAGCCACCCUUGAAAGAGUGCGUAAUAGCUCACUGGUCAAGUGAUUCCGCGCCGACAAUGUAACGGGGCUCAAGCACGCCACCGAAGUUGUGGCAUUUAUAUUAUAGGCAGGCCUUCGUGGUCCAGCCGUAUGGAUGGGUAGGAGAGCGUCGUGUGGCCAGCGAAGCGGCGGUGUGAACCAGCCGUGGAGGCCACACGAGUGAGAAUGCAGGCAUGAGUAGCGAAAGACGGGUGAGAAACCCGUCCUCCGAAAGACCAAGGGUUCCAGGGCCAGGCUAAUCCGCCCUGGGUAAGUCGGGACCUAAGGCGAGGCCGACAGGCGUAGUCGAUGGACAACGGGUUGAUAUUCCCGUACCGAUGAAGAACCGCCCAAGACAAUCCAGUAAUGCUAAGUGUCUGAAUCCUUGAUUCGAUCCCUUCGGGGUGACGGUCUUGGCCUAGCACACGACCCUACGCUGGGGCGUUUAGCGUAUUAACAGGUGUGACGCAGGAAGGUAGCUGAGCCGGGCGAUGGUUGUCCCGGUCUAAGGAUGUAGGGCAGAAGAUAGGCAAAUCCGUCUUCUAUGUAGCCUGAGACCCGAUGGGUAGUCCUCACGGACGAAAUCAGUGAUCCUAUGCUGCCGAGAAAAGCAUCGACGCGAGGUUCCAAUCGCCCGUACCCCAAACCGACUCAGGUGGUCAGGUAGAGAAUACUAAGGAGAUCGAGAGAAUCGUGGUUAAGGAACUCGGCAAAAUGCCCCCGUAACUUCGGGAGAAGGGGGGCCUGAGGCGUGUAGGGAUUUACUCCUGAAGCGUUUGAAGGCCGCAGAGACCAGUGGGAAGCGACUGUUUACUAAAAACACAGGUCCGUGCUAAGUCGCAAGACGAUGUAUACGGACUGACGCCUGCCCGGUGCUGGAAGGUUAAGAGGAACGGUUAGCACGCAAGUGCGAAGCUGAGAAUUUAAGCCCCAGUAAACGGCGGUGGUAACUAUAACCAUCCUAAGGUAGCGAAAUUCCUUGUCGGGUAAGUUCCGACCUGCACGAAUGGCGUAACGACUUCCCAGCUGUCUCAACCGCGAACUCGGCGAAAUUGCACUACGAGUAAAGAUGCUCGUUACGCGCAGCAGGACGGAAAGACCCCGUGACCUUUACUACAGCUUGGUAUUGGUGUUCGGUGUGGCUUGUGUAGGAUAGGUGGGAGACUGUGAAGCUCGGACGCUAGUUCGGGUGGAGUCAUUGUUGAAAUACCACUCUGGUCACUCUGGAUAUCUAACUUCGAACCGUAAUCCGGUUCAGGGACAGUGCCUGGUGGGUAGUUUAACUGGGGCGGUUGCCUCCUAAAGAGUAACGGAGGCGCCCAAAGGUUCCCUCAACCUGGUUGGUAAUCAGGUGUCGAGUGUAAGUGCACAAGGGAGCUUGACUGUGAGACUGACAAGUCGAGCAGGGACGAAAGUCGGGACUAGUGAUCCGGCAGUGGCUUGUGGAAGCGCUGUCGCUCAACGGA
rnacentral:rRNA from 1 species